UACGUAGGGUCCGAGCGUUGUCCGGAGUUACUGGGCGUAAAGCGCGCGCAGGUGGUCCAUUAAGCCCGGCGUGAAAGCCCCCGGCUCAACCGGGGAGGGUCGUCGGGGACUGGUGGACUUGAGGGCGGCAGGGGCUGGUGGAAUCCCCGGUGUAGUGGUGAAAUGCGUAGAGAUCGGGGGGAACACCAACGGCGAAAGCACUCUGCUGGGCCGACACUGACACUGAGAGACGAAGGCCAGGGGAGCAAACGGG
rnacentral:rRNA from 1 species